rnacentral:snRNA from 1 species
CUGCAACCAUGAGUGGUGUCA